rnacentral:rRNA from 1 species
UACGUAGGGUGCGAGCGUUAAUCGGAAUACUGGGCGUAAAGCGUGCGCAGGCGGUUCGUUAUGUCCGAUGUGAAAGCCCCGAGCUUAACUUGGGAAUGGCAUUGGAAACUGGCGGGCUGGAGUGCGGCAGAGGGGGGUGGAAUUCCCAGUGUAGAGGUGAAAUUCGUAGAUAUUGGGAAGAACACCGGUGGCGAAGGCGGCGCUCUGGACCGAGACUGACGCUGAGGCGCGAAAGCGUGGGGAGCGAACAGG